GGUGGGCUUCUCUUUUUGACACCUGGGUGCCAUACCGAAAGGGCUCUGAGGUAACGGCCAUAAAGGAAACAGAUUUGUCCAGCCUGCCAGCCUCACCGCUCACUGCCAGCUCUGUGAACGUGGUCCCUGCAAGUACUCGUUACCAGCCUGGAAGCAGCCCCUCAAUAACCAGGCAUAGAAGCUCCAGACGUGUUCUUCAGCCCGUGCAAGGAGCCAGACCUUGUGUGCAGAGGGCCACGAGAAAAAUGCCUGGGGGAGUGGGGCCAUGGAGUAGCAUGGCUUCCCUGUGCCCAUCUCUG
rnacentral:lncRNA from 1 species